CCCCUAGAUGUUCUGGGCCGCACGCGCGCUACACUGAACAGUUCAACAAGUCUUAACCUUGGCCGAUAGGUCUGGGUAAUCUUUGAACGCUGUUCGUGAUUGGGAUAGACCUUUGCAAUUAUGGGUCUUCAGCGAGGAAUUCCUAGUAAACGCAAGUCAUCAGCUUGCAUUGAUUACGUCCCUGCCCUUUGUACACACCGCCCGUCGCACCUACCGAUUGAAUGGUCCGGUGAAAUCUCGGGACGGCGGCUUGGUCGCUUGCGUCCGACUGCUGAAACUUGAUUAAACCAUAUCAUUUAGAGGAAGGUGAAGUCGUANCA
rnacentral:rRNA from 1 species